UACGUAGGGUGCAAGCGUUGUCCGGAAUUAUUGGGCGUAAAGCGCGCGCAGGCGGUUUCUUAAGUCUGAUGUGAAAGCCCACGGCUUAACCGUGGAAGGUCAUUGGAAACUGGGAGACUUGAGUGCAGAAGAGAAGAGCGGAAUUCCACGUGUAGCGGUGAAAUGCGUAGAGAUGUGGAGGAACACCAGUGGCGAAGGCGGCUCUUUGGUCUGUAACUGACGCUGGAGGCGCGAAAGCGUGGGGAUCAAACAGG
rnacentral:rRNA from 1 species